rnacentral:rRNA from 1 species
AACAGGAUUAGAUACCCUGGUAGUCCACGCCGUAAACGAUGUCGACUUGGAGGUUGUGCCCUUGAGGCGUGGCUUCCGGAGCUAACGCGUUAAGUCGACCGCCUGGGGAGUACGGCCGCAAGGUUAAAACUCAAAUGAAUUGACGGGGGCCCGCACAAGCGGUGGAGCAUGUGGUUUAAUUCGAUGCAACGCGAAGAACCUUACCUACUCUUGACAUCCAGAGAACUUAGCAGAGAUGCUUUGGUGCCUUCGGGAGCUCUGAGACAGGUGCUGCAUGGCUGUCGUCAGCUCGUGUUGUGAAAUGUUGGGUUAAGUCCCGCAACGAGCGCAACCCUUAUCCUUUGUUGCCAGCGGUCCGGCCGGGAACUCAAAGGAGACUGCCAGUGAUAAACUGGAGGAAGGUGGGGAUGACGUCAAGUCAUCAUGGCCCUUACGAGUAGGGCUACACACGUGCUACAAUGGCAUAUACAAAGAGAAGCGACCUCGCGAGAGCAAGCGGACCUCAUAAAGUAUGUCGUAGUCCGGAUUGGAGUCUGCAACUCGACUCCAUGAAGUCGGAAUCGCUAGUAAUCGUGGAUCAGAAUGCCACGGUGAAUACGUUCCCGGGCCUUGUACACACCGCCCGUCACACCAUGGGAGUGGGUUGCAAAAGAAGUAGGUAGCUUAACCUUCGGGAGGGCGCUUACCACUUUGUGAUUCAUGACUGGGGUGAAGUCGUAACAAGGUAACC